CUGGGCCUUCCUGAGGAGACGGAAAGCAGUGAACCUCUGUAAAAGCUUAGAGUCUCCUAAGCAAGGGCAGGGCACACACCGGGACAGAACAGCAAAUCGAUGACUUUAGUCGCUAAACUAAAGCUUCAUUCUCCUUAAGAAUGACUCUCCUCCAUCGCCACCCCUCACCCCACUUGAGGACUUAUCUGGAAUUUCAAAUGUUUGUUCCUGCAAAUGCAUCUUCCAUCCUGGGUGACAGGAAGUGUCUGGUUCCAUGACGAUGAAGCAGCCACAAGGCCUCUCUGUGUCAGUGCUGGAGAGAGAGAGCUUCCUUCCUCCUGUCCUGGACCCCUCCUGGAGGGACGCUCCCAAGGCUGAGAUGACACAGUCAUUUCCCGCAUGCUGUCUAGCACUGACCCACCCAUCGCCCUUGUCCUGGUGCUGGUCUGCAGCAGCAGUGAGGGGGACCCCUUUGUGUGAGGGCUGCACUGGCCAUCGUUCAGGAAAAGGCAAUAGAGCCUCUGCAGUCUUUGAACGCCCUCGGUGCCUCCAGCGCAUUGGCCUUAGGACAACACUCCUUACGGGGGGUCUCUGAAGUCUGCCCGGAAGACACUCUUCCAGCCCACCGGGUCCUGCAGCCAAAGUGCAUGGUGUCCCCUGGCCCUGGAACAAGUCUCUGUGUGACCCUGAGGGUCCCUGUAGAAACAGCCACAUGGCCCCUCCUUCAUGGAGCCCAGCGUUCCUUGUUGAUUUUCGGCUUUCUUACCUGGCCUCCGCUGUCCAUCCUUGAGGUGGGCUGGUGCUCUAGGGACUUCCUGCAAUGACGGGUUUGUGUUGGGUACAGAAAGAAGCUAUUGUAGAACCGUCCGACGAUGGAGCCUUCAGGGACGCGGUGGCCCCGGAGCACAUGGUGACAUGCUGGAGAAGCUGGGCAGUGCCCAGGAGUUGGCACGUGGGGACUCGGUUCGCUGAGUUCGCUGAAAGCAAAUCCGUGUUUUGCAUGAGCGGCCUGUGUGUCUGCUGGCUCUAAACCUGCCUUGUUUUGUCCAGCUGUGGCUGGGAUCUGUGACUCCUUGGAAGGCAUUUCACCUCACUCAGAGUCACAAAAUUCAAGCAAUGACAAGAACAGUGCCUGGAGUAGAAUACCAUUUAAAUUUUAUUUAUAU
rnacentral:lncRNA from 1 species